AAAACAAUUACCAGCUCUCCGAGUGGUGUGGAUGUUUAUUGGGCCUAAAGCAUCCGUAGCUGGCUAAGUUAGUCCCCUGUUAAAUCCAACGAAUUAAUCGUUGGAUCGCGGGGGAUACUGCUUGGCUAGGGGACGAGAGAGGCAGACGGUAUUUCCGGGGUAGGGGUGAAAUCCUAUAAUCCCGGGAAGACCACCAGUGGCGAAGGCUGUCUGCUAGAACGCGCCCGACGGUGAGGGAUGAAAGCUGGGGGAGCGAACCGGAUUAGAUACCCGGGUAGUCCCAGCUGUAAACGAUGCAGGCUAGGUGUUUGGACGGCCACGUGCCGUUCUAGUGCCGCAGGGAAGCUGUUAAGCCUGCCGCCUGGGGAGUACGAUCGCAAGAUUGAAACUUAAAGGAAUUGGCGGGGGAGCACCACAAGGGGUGAAGCUUGCGGUUUAAUUGGAGUCAACGCCGGAAAUCUCACCGGGAGCGACAGCAGUGUGAAGGCCAGAUUAAAGGUCUUGCCAGACGAGCU
rnacentral:rRNA from 1 species